UAAAUACAUAAAACAUGAUGGCAAAGCUCUGGUGAAACUUGAAUCAUUUUUCUUCUGCCACAAAAAAAUGUCACAUUAUGUUGCAUUAUUUGGGGUUCUUCUGCUCCCAUUCAUAUGCAGUUUGGAAGCAGAAAUGAAGUUUCAGAUGUUAAUUUUAUUCUUGUUCCAGAUUGAGAAGAGUAGGCCAAUAUAAUGAAGGAGAAGGAAGAUGAAGGAAGAUCCAGGCAAAGAUGUUGGAAAGAAGAAGUAGAAAAGUACCAAAGAAAUAUAAGGUUGGCGUGUGGCAUGGGCCCUGGAUCUGGCUUGCUUACUCCUCCCCCUCAUUGGUAGGAGGGGGAGCGUCUGGUGGUCACCUGGGGUGCGGAGGUAACAUUGGCCUGGUAUAGUUCCGGUAGCACCCCAGUGUGGAUAGUGGUAUCGGUCAGCAGCGGGCUGCCCAAUCCAUGAUCUAGGACCCAAGCAUGGCAGCCAACUCUUGUUCUUGUAACCAAUAAACGAGUUGAGGCCAAGUUUAUAUCCCAACCUUGUAUUUGUGUCAUUUUUGGGUUUUGCUGGACGGAGGCGUGUUGCCCAUGCACACGCAAGCCCUUUUCAAGGACAUCUGGAAAGUAAGGAAUCUU
rnacentral:lncRNA from 11 species